GACAGAGGGUGCAAACGUUGUUCGGAAUUACUGGGCGUAAAGCGCGUGUAGGCGGCUCGGCAAGUCGGAUGUGAAAGCCCUGGGCUUAACCUAGGAAGUGCAUUCGAAACUUCUGAGCUUGAGUUCUGGAGAGGAAGGCGGAAUUCUCGGUGUAGAGGUGAAAUUCGUAGAUAUCGAGAGGAACACCGGUGGCGAAGGCGGCCUUCUGGACAGUGACUGACGCUGAGACGCGAAAGCGUGGGGAGCAAACAGG
rnacentral:rRNA from 1 species